rnacentral:rRNA from 1 species
GAUGAACGCUAGCGGCAGGCCUAAUACAUGCAAGCCGGACGGCAAGUUGAGUAGCAAUACUUGACCUAGAGUGGCGUAAGGGUGCGUAACACGUAUGCAAUCUGCCCACAGCCGGGAGAUAGCCCUCCGAAAGGAGGAUUAAUAUCCCAUAGGAAGAUGAGAUGGCAUCAUUUUAUUUUUAAACUACGGGGCUGUGGAUGAGCAUGCGGUUGAUUAGCUAGUUGGCGGGGUAAAGGCCCACCAAGGCGAUGAUCAAUAGGGGACCUGAGAGGGUGAUCCCCCACACUGGCACUGAGAUACGGGCCAGACUCCUACGGGAGGCAGCAGUAGGGAAUAUUGGAC